UACGUAGGGGGCAAGCGUUGUCCGGAUUUAUUGGGCGUAAAGAGCGUGUAGGCGGCCUGACAGGUCUGCUGUGAAAACUCGAGGCUCAACCUCGAGAUGUCGGCGGAAACCGUCUGGCUAGAGUCCGGAAGAGGAGAGUGGAAUUCCUGGUGUAGCGGUGAAAUGCGCAGAGUAUCAGGAAGAACACCUAUGGCGAAGGCAGCUCUCUGGGACGGUACUGACGCUGAGACGCGAAAGCGUGGGGAGCGAACAGG
rnacentral:rRNA from 1 species